GAUGAACGCUGGCGGCGUGCUUAACACAUGCAAGUCGAACGGAAAGGCCCCUGCUUGCAGGGGUACUCGAGUGGCGAACGGGUGAGUAACACGUGGGUGAUCUGCCCUGCACUUCGGGAUAAGCCUGGGCAACUGGGUCUAAUACCGGAUAGGACGAUGGUUUGGAUGCCAUUGUGGAAAGUUUUUCGGUGUGGGAUGAGCUCGCGGCCUAUCAGCUUGUUGGUGGGGUAAUGGCCUACCAAGGCGUCGACGGGUAGCCGGCCUGAGAGGGUGUACGGCCACACUGGGACUGAAAUGCGGCACAGACUACUACGGGAGGCAGCAGUGGGGAAUAUUGCACAAUGGGCGGAAGCCUGAUGCAGCGACGCCGCGUGGGGGAUGACGGCCUUCGGGUUGUAAACUCCUUUCGCUAGGGACGAGGCGCAAGUGACGGUACCGGGAGAAGAAGCACCGGCUAACUACGUG
rnacentral:rRNA from 1 species